rnacentral:rRNA from 18 species
AAAACGACUCUCGGCAACGGAUAUCUCGGCUCACGCAUCGAUGAAGAACGUAGCAAAAUGCGAUACUUGGUGUGAAUUGCAGAAUCCCGUGAACCAUCGAGUUUUUGAACGCAAGUUGCGCCCGAAGCCAUCUGGUUGAGGGCACGUCUGCCUGGGCGUCACGC